rnacentral:lncRNA from 1 species
AUGGCACAGCAGAGCUCUGUGUUUACCUUGGACAGCUCAGGCAGGCUGAGGGAAGCCAAGGGUUGCACAAGAACAGAGAUUCUUUGUGCCCUGGCAGGUCCCCUCUCCUCUCACCCUGCUGAUUUACAAACAUUCUUUCAAAGAAUGAAGGGCACUGCUGGCUCAGCCAGCCUGGGAUGCCACAGCCCGAGGAGGUGGCACCUGGAGCACCUCUGUGGGUUCCAAACUCUGCUUUGCUUGGGGACCUGCUCCGUGGUGGCCACGAGGCUCCCAGGACAGGAGGAACGGCCUCAGGCUUUGCAGGCUGGACAGCAGCAGGAAUUCCUGCAGGAAAAGGUGCCCAGGUGUUUGAAGCAGGAAUUCCUGCAAGGAAAGUGUGCCCAGGUGUUGGCAGCAGGAGUUCCUGCAAGGAAAAGGCGCUCCGGUGUUGGCAGCAGGAAUUCCUGCAGGAAAAGGUGCCCAGGUGUUGGCAGCAGGAAUUCCUGCAAGGAAAAGGUGCCCAGGUGUUGGCAGCAGAAAUUUCUGCAAGGAAAAGGUGCCCAGGUGUUGGCAGCAGGAAUUCCUGCAAGGAAAAGGUGCUCGGGUGUUGGCAGCAGAAAUUUCUGCAAGGAAAAGGUGCUCAGGUGUCGGCAGCGGGAGUUCCUGCAAGGAAAAGGUGCUCCGGUGUUGGCAGCAGGAAUUCCUGCAGGAAGAGUUGCCCAGGUGUUGGCAGCAGGAAUUCCUGCAAGGAAAAGAUCCUCAGGUGUUUGAAGCAGGAAUUCCUGCAAGGAAAAGGUGCUCCGGUGUUGGCAGCAGGAAUUCCUGCAAGGAAAAGGUGCCCAGGUGUUGGCAGCAGGAAUUCCUGCAGGAAAAGGUGCUCAGGUGUUGGCAGCAGGAAUUCCUGCAGGAAAAGGUGCUCAGGUGUUUGAAGCAGGAAUUCCUGCAAGGAAAAGGCGCCCAGGUGUUAGCAGCAGGAAUUCCUGCAGGAAAAGGUGCCCAGGUGUUGGCAGCAGGAAUUCCUGCAGGAAAAGGUGCCCAGGGGGGCUGGGAGUCCCCAGGCCCGGAGGUGGCACAAGCUGGGGAUGGGCACAGGUUGGGCUGGGAGAGCUUUUCCAGCCUCAGUGACCCCGGGAUGCACCAGAGAAGGAAAUCCAUCACACCAGUGGUGAGCACAGGUGAAGCCCAAGUCACCCCCUUCUUGGUCUGGAAAUGUGCAACCUCAGGGUGGAAACUUUGGGAAAGUUAAUGAAGGAAAAAAAAACCCUCUAGAGCUUGAAAAACUCACAUUUGUGUUUGUGAGAACUCACUUCUAAGGCGAGCUGCCAGCUGGAAGCAUCAGUCUCUGUGCUAGGAGGGCUCAGUCCUGGUUUUGAUGCAUUUCUUUAAUAUCUCUCAGACAUUCAAAAGCACUCUUACGUCACCAGGAAUUUCUUUUGUAUCACAUUAUUUAAUAAAAACCUGCUGAAGACAUCA